rnacentral:rRNA from 1 species
CUUAAUUAUUAGUAGUUAUGAUCUUUAAACUUGAAGAAUUUGGCGGUGAUUUAGUCUUGUUAGAGGAACCUGUUUUUGGAUCGAUACACCACGCAACAUCUUACUCAAGUCUAUAUACCGUCAUUAUCAGAUAAUUUUUAGAAAAUUAAUUAUUGAAUCGUAAAGGGAUAAAUUAAAUUAGAUCAAGGKGUAGCUAAUAAACGAGUUGAAAUGGGUUACAAUAAAACUUAUUUAUUACGGAGUAAUUGUUAUGAAGGAGGAUUUAAUUGUAUAUAAGUUUAACGAGCUUAAAAGAUAUAAGCUCUAAAUCAUGU